rnacentral:rRNA from 1 species
GACGAACGCUGGCGGCGUGCUUAACACAUGCCAGUCGAACGGAAAGGCCUGCUUUCCCUUGUGGAUUGCGGGUACUCGAGUGGCGAACGGGUGAGUAACACGUGAGUGAUCUGCCCCCAACUUGGGUAUAAGCCUGGGAAACUGGGUCUAAUUCCCGAUAGGACUGCAGGGUGGUGCCUGUGGUGGAAAACGAUUUUCUAGUGGUUGGGGAUGAGCUCGCGGCCUAUCAGCUUGUUGGUGGGGUAAUGGCCUACCAAGGCGGCGACGGGUAGCCGGCCUGAGAGGGUGGACGGCCACAUUGGGACUGGGAGACGGCCCAGACUCCUACGGGAGGCAGCAGUGGGGAAUAUUGCACAAUGGGCGGAAGCCUGAUGCAGCGACGCCGCGUGGGGGAUGACGGCCUUCGGGUUGUAAACUCCUUUCGACCGCGAGGAAGCCACCUGGUUGGAAGGGUGGUGACGGUAGUGGUAGAAGAAGCACCGGCUAACUACGUG